GCAUUGGUGGUUCAGUGGUAGAAUUCUCUCCUCACACGCGGGAGACCCGGGUCCGAUUCCCGGCCAAUGAA
rnacentral:tRNA from 1 species